rnacentral:rRNA from 1 species
AAUCAACGCUGGCGGCGUGCCUCAGACAUGCAAGUCGAACGAUUAAGACUUCCUUCGGGAAGUGCAUAAAGUGGCGCACGGGUGAGUAACACGUAAGUAAUCUACCCUCGAGUGGGGAAUAACGUUCGGAAACGGACGCUAAUACCGCAUAACGCAGCGGCACCGCAAGGUGACAGUUGUUAAAGGAGCAAUCCGCUUGAGGAGGAGCUUGCGGCAGAUUAGCUAGUUGGUAAGGUAAUGGCUUACCAAGGGCUACGAUCUGUAUCCGGUCUAAGAGGACGGUCGGACACACUGACACUGAAUAACGGGUCAGACUCCUACGGGAGGCAGCAGUCGGGAAUUUUGGGCAAUGGGCGAAAGCCUGACCCAGCAACGCCGCGUGAAGGAUGAAGUAUUUCGGUAUGUAAACUUCGAAAGAAUAGGAAGAAUAAAUGACGGUACUAUUUAUAAGCUCCGGCUAACUACGUG